GGGGAAUUUUGGACAAUGGGCGAAAGCCUGAUCCAGCAAUGCCGCGUGCAGGACGAAGGCCUUCGGGUUGUAAACUGCUUUUGUACGGAACGAAAAGACACUGGCUAAUACCUGGUGUUGAUGACGGUACCGUAAGAAUAAGCACCGGCUAACUACGUGCCAGCAGCCGCGGUAAUACGUAGGGUGCGAGCGUUAAUCGGAAUUACUGGGCGUAAAGCGUGCGCAGGCGGUUUUGUAAGACAGAGGUGAAAUCCCCGGGCUCAACCUGGGAACUGCCUUUGUGACUGCAAGGCUAGAGUGCGGCAGAGGGGGAUGGAAUUCCGCGUGUAGCAGUGAAAUGCGUAGAUAUGCGGAGGAACACCGAUGGCGAAGGCAAUCCCCUGGGCCUGCACUGACGCUCAUGCACGAAAGCGUGGGGAGCAAAC
rnacentral:rRNA from 1 species